rnacentral:rRNA from 1 species
UUAGGCAGCCAUUUCACCCUGUACCCUAAGACUGGUUACCUACUGAACCUAAGCAGGGUUGAGCCUGGUCAGUACCUGGAUGGGAGACCUCCUGGGAAAACUAGGUUGCUGCUGGAA